GUAGGCGUUUAGCGUUGUCCGGAUUUACUGGGCGUAAAGAGCGCGCAGGCGGUCGUUCAAGUCGCGUGUGAAAGCCCCCGGCUCAACUGGGGAGGGUCACGCGAUACUGAUCGACUCGAAGGCAGGAGAGGGAAGUGGAAUUCCCGGUGUAGUGGUGAAAUGCGUAGAUAUCGGGAGGAACACCAGUGGCGAAGGCGACUUCCUGGCCUGUUCUUGACGCUGAGGCGCGAAAGCUAGGGGAGCAAACGGUAUUAGAUACCCCGGUAGUCCUAGCCGUAAACGAUGGACACUAGGUGUUGGUGGUAUCAACCCCGCCAGUGCCGAAGCUAACGCAUUAAGUGUCCCGCCUGGGGAGUACGGCCGCAAGGCUA
rnacentral:rRNA from 1 species